rnacentral:rRNA from 1 species
CUAAGUUACAAGCCUAAGUAAGGUGAAACCGCGAAUGGCUCAUUAAAUCACACCUAAUCUACUGGAAUGUUAGCAGUUACUUGGAUAACUGAGGUAAUUCUUGAGCUAAUACAUGCGAAAAAUCUCGACUCACGGAGAGAUGCUUUUAUUAGAUCAAAACCAAACGGCUUCGGCUGUUUAAUCUUGAUGACUCUGAAUAACUUUGGGCUGAUUGUAUUGCCUUGAUUUGGUGGGUGGUGGUGCAUGGCCGUUCUUAGUUGGUGGAGUGAUUUGUCUGGUUAAUUCCGAUAACGAACGAGACCCCCGCCUGCUAAAUAGUUGUGAUUAUGCUUAGUAUAGUUGUCAGCUUCUUAGAGGGACUUUCGGUGAUCAACCGAAGGAAGUUGGGGGCAAUAACAGGUCUGUGAUGCCCUUAGAUGUCCUGGGCCGCACGCGCGCUACACUGACAUACGCAGCGAGCCUCCUUGUCCGAAAGGUCCGGGUAAUCUUGUAAAUGUAUGUCGUGAUAGGGAUAGAUUAUUGCAAUUAUUAAUCUUGAACGAGGAAUUCCUAGUAAAUGCAAGUCAUCAGCUUGCGUUGAUUACGUCCCUGCCCUUUGUACACACCGCCCGUCGCACCUACCGAUUGAAUGUUUCGGUGAAACUUUCGGACCGUGGCCUUGAUACCCUCGGGUAAC